rnacentral:ncRNA from 1 species
AAUAAAUUUUUUAUAGUUUUAAUAAUUUAUUAUAAAUUUAUUUUACAUAUAAAUUUUAGUGUUAAAUUUAAAUUAUUUUAAUAAUAAUUUAAUUAAUUUUUAUAGUAAUUAAUAUUAAAAAUUUAAGAAAUUAAGAUUUAGUAAUAUAAGAAUUAAUAACAAAUUUUGUGCCAGCAGUUGCGGUUAUACAAAAAUUAAAUUAAAUUUUAUUAGUUAUUAAUUAAUAUUAAUUAAUAAAAUUAAUUUAAAUAUUAAAUUAUUAAGUGAAAUUUUAAUUUAAUUAAAAAUUAAUUUUAAAAUUAUGAUUUAAUAAAUUUUAUUAUAAACUAGGAUUAGAUACCCUAUUAUUAAAAAUUUAAAUUUAAAUGCUAAAAUAGUAAAUAAUUAUUUAUUGAAACUUAAAUAAUUUGGCGGUAUUUUAGUUCAUUUAGAGGAAUCUGUUUAAUAAUUGAUAUUCCACGAAUAAAUUUACUUAAUUUAAAAUUUUGUAUAUCGUCGUUAAAAAAAUAUUUUUUUAUAAUAAUAAUAUUUAAAAAUUUUUAUAAUAAAUAGAAAUCAGAUCAAGAUGCAGAUUAUAAUUAAGAAUAUAAUGGAUUACAAUAAAUUUAUUUAUUAUGAAUAUUAAUUUGUAAUUAUUAAUUUGAAAGUGGAUUUAAAUGUAAUUUUAUUUAAUUUAUUAAAAUGAUUAAAAAUUAAAAUAUGUACAUAUUGCCCGUCGCUUUCAUUAAUAAAUUGGAAUAAGUCGUAACAAAGUAGAGGUACUGGAAAGUGUUUCUAGAAAUUC